rnacentral:tRNA from 1 species
AGUAGGGUGGAGCAGUAUGGUAGCUUGUUAGGCUCAUGUCCUAAAGGCCGUAGGUUCAAAUCCUACCCCUGCUA